UGUCAGACCAUAAAAUGAGUUCAGCCACAAUUAAAACCAAAGCAAACAAUGAUGUUUGACAUAAGCAGCAGAAGAGCAGAAAGGUUAAGUUAGCAACCAACAACCAGGAGCAAAUUUGUAACAAUUAGCAUAACAUCCAGCAGCGUUAGCAUGGCAGCCAUAUUGACAAGCACACAGACAGCUAUUAUCACAGCUAGCUACUCAGUGGAGACAAGUUACUAACUCACAAUACACGUGUUAGCAAUGGUAGAAAAUGCAUACCUGUUUGAAGUGAAGCUCUGAUAGUCUCCGGUGCAUCUUGUUGUGGUCCAAAGCUCCCACAGAAGGACAGGUAAACUACUUUCAGGUUAAAGUGCCAACGGCUAUUAACUGCCGCCGAAAGGAGUCGCUACAGCCCCCAUGAGUGCCGCAAAACCAAGUUAGUCACUCCAUAAAGUCGUCCAGAUGCCGCUGUUUGCAGACAUGCAUUUUACAGCCCACCACCUUUUACGUAAACAUCUGACUCUUGAAUUCAACAUCUGCUCUGGGUUCAGCCUGACAGAUCCAGAAGCUGUUUCGAGUAUCUUCUGCAAAACAUCUGCCUGUAGGUAAAACAUGCACAAAAUACACGUUUUCAGGUUUUAUUGUGUUUUCACCAGAUUGGUAUCAGAGCCAUGACACACACAGAGCACCCAUAUCAUAUAUUUACCCAUAACAGUCUGUGUACCCAUUUGGAAUCUGUUAAGCCUGCCAGAGCCAGAUAAAAACCUGUUUUAAUGCCAUACACGGCUAAGAAGGUGUUCUCAAGCAUGCUGAUCAUGUACCAACACUGCAAGAUCUGUCUGACUUACAUCAGAAGUGAAUUUCACUUGUUUGGGUGCAGCACUUAAUUUGUCUGUAACGUCAUUAAACCUGUUUACAAGGCAAA